AGCAGCCGCGGUAAUUCCAGCUCCAAUAGCGUAUAUUAAAGUUGUUGCAGUUAAAAAGCUCGUAGUUGAAUUUCGGGACUAAUAUGUCGGUCGUACUUUGUACGUACUAGCAUUAUUGGUUUCUCCCUUCUGACGAACCACGAUGUCAUUAAUUUGGUGUCGCGGGAAAUCAGGACUGUUACUUUGAAAAAAUUAGAGUGUUUAAAGCAAGCUCGCGCUUGAAUACAUUAGCAUGGAAUAAUGAAAUAGGACGUUUGAUUCUAUUUUGUUGGUUUCUAGGAUCGACGUAAUGAUUAAUAGGGAUAGUUGGGGGCAUUAGUAUUCAAUUGUCAGAGGUGAAAUUCUUGGAUUUAUUGAAGACUAACUACUGCGAAAGCAUUUGCCAAGGAUGUUUUCAUUAAUCAAGAACGAAAGUUAGGGGAUCGAAGACGAUCAGAUACCGUCGUAGUCUUAACCAUAAACUAUGCCGACUAGGGAUCGGAUGAUGUUAAUUUUUUAAUGACUCAUUCGGCGCCUUACG
rnacentral:misc_RNA from 1 species